UGCAAUUGUAUUAAAUCUUUUAUUAAAUAUGUAUAAAAUUUUAAAAUGAGAUAUAAAUUAGAGGGCAAGUCCAGAAUCCAUAAACUGAUAUUGGCUAUGUCUCAGGGGAGCGCUGCUCAUGCCGUAGCCUGUAGGGACUCUCAACUAAGAUGAAAAUGUCCGGAGAGAAUUAAUGGGUAGGGUUGGUUUUACUAUGAAUACCCACAAUCAUGGAGGAACUUUAAACCAUAAUUUAGGGAAAUAUUGUAUUGGUUCACUUAUGAUAGGCUAUAUGUACCUUGUUAUGUUUUGAUGAUUUAACAAACUUAAUGACAAGAACCAGAUAAGGAACCUGAUACACACCCUCAAGUACGUGGAAAUAACAAGUCUCAAGCUGGAGAUGUAAAUCAACUCAUCAGACGACAAAGAAACAACAAGGGGAACAGAUGGACAUCAGUUCCCCUGGUGACCGUACCCAGUCAACUCUCCAACAACUGUAAAGUUGCUGUCUGCACACGCAAUAGUGCAACAGUCAACUUCAUUGGGAAUGCUCCUGUACCAAACAUGCUUGCAUCAUUCAAGUGAUAUUACCAAUGUUAUAUUAACAUUAAACUAAAGGCAAAACAUGACUUGAACAUUGAAGAAUCCAUCAAGCACUCUCUCAAGUGACCAAUCAAUCUGGCAAGCGAUUCUCAAGAGCAUCAAGAACAAAGAACAACAUAACAAUGGAUCAGUUCCCUGUAUUGAGUUAUUACAUGUCCUUAGUUGUGUUGCACAUUUGUUAAAGUUCUUUACUUGUAAUUUCUACUUAGCUUAGUUAGAAGCAUUGUAUAGGAAAUCUUUGUAAAUCAUAAACUCUUGUGUUUGUGUCUUGGCUAGAGUUAGUCGAGUUGUAAAUCUUUGUAAUAGAGUUAUUACAAAGUGGCUUGUAAUAGAGUUGUUACAAAUUAGUGAGGGAUUAAGAGGUUAAUUCCUAGGUUACAAUAGGUUAUAAUCUAAAGUUUGCUCAGUAGUGAAGUUGAAAUCCUACAAGGGUAGGUCGUGAUUUUUAAUCCCGUGAGCUGGGAGUUUUCCACGUAAAACUUCUUUGUGUCAUUUACCUACUGCAGUGUGUGUGUGUUAUGCGGGAACUAAUAGAGAAUUUGGUUCUCUAUACAGUUUGGUGGACCCUUAAAUUCUAUCAAUUGAUAUCAUAGCGGGUUCUUUCUAUCAGGUAACACCUAGAAAGGAUCCUUAUGGCCGCUCCACCAAAAUUUGAAGAAGGUAAAUCUACCUACAAGCCACCAAGAUUCAAUGGCCAAUACUAUGGAUGGUGGAAGACAAGGAUGCACGACUUCAUUAUGGCUGAAGACUCAGAGAUCUGGGACUUCAUCUGCGAUGGACCCUUCGUCCCUACAAAAACCAGUGGUGACCUGGCAGUAACAGUUCCCAAAACAAGAAAAGAAUUCAAUGAUGUUGAUCGCAAGGCCAUAGAGAAGAACUUUUGAGCAAGGAAAAUUCUUGUCUGUGGUAUUAGUCCUGAUGUAUACAACAGGAUUUCAGCAUGCCAAUCUGCUAAGGAGAUCUAGGAAGCUCUCCAAACAGCUCAUGAAGGGACAACCCAAGUUAAGCAAUCAAAGAUUGACAUGCUUACCAUAGAAUACGAGCUUUUCAGGAUGAAAGACGAUGAGUCCAUCCAGUACAUGCAUACUCGGUUCACUUCCAUCAUUAAUGAGCUUCAUUCUCUAGGAGAAAUCAUUCCAAGGAACAAAUUUGUCAUGAAAAUACUCAGUGUUUUACCCAGUUCCUGGGAAAGCAAAGUGAAUGCUAUCACAGAGGCAAAGGAUUUACAGAAGCUAACCAUUGAUGAACUUGUUGGUAAUCUGAAAAUUUAUGAAAUGAAGAAAAAAAGGAUAAUGAGAGAAGAGAAACCAAAAGGGAGAAGAACUUGGUCCUCAAGACGGACAACAAUGAUUCAGGUGGUGAGGAUGCUGAUAUGGCUUACAUGAUAAAAAGAUUCCAGAAAAUGGUUCGCAGAAAUGGAGGCAUUCCAAAAAGGGGCAGCUCCAGCAAGCCAAAAGGUUACGACCUAUGUCAUAAGUAUGGUAAGCCAGGAUAUUUCAUCAAGGAUUGUCCUCUUCUCAAGCAAGAUCAAUACAAACACAACACAGACAAAGUAGCUGAGAGGAACCCGGUUCUUGACAAAUAUUUCAAGAGGAAAAAUAUCGCUGACAAUAUUGUGAAGCAAGCUCUUGCUGCAUGGGGAGACUCUUCCAGCGAAUCUGAAGAAGAUGAUGAUCAAGGUGACAGCUCCAUGAUAGCAGUGGAAAGUGAAGCAGUUGAGUAUGACUUUAUCUUUGCCUUGAUGGCACAGUCUGAUAAUGAUAAAGAUGACGACGAUGAUGAUGAGGUAAACUUUCUAGAUGUUCAAAGAAAUCUAAAGUCUUAUUCUCCUAAAAAACUCAUAUCCCUGGCAAAUGUUUUAAUUGAUACUUAUUACAGUCUUAUAAAUGAUAAAAAUGCAUUAAUUGUGGAACUAGGAGACAUAGAACAUGAGAGAGAUGACCUAUUAGUAGUAGUUGUAAAUCUGAAGGAUGCAAUUGAGGAACUAAAAGGAGAAGGUAGGCAUGAGAUUCUUCAAAAGGGAAAGAAAGUUGCGGAUGAAACAUAUCUUAGGCUUAAAGAUGAGAUAAAAUCAGUGAAAUCUAGUUUGUAUGUUGAAUUCGAGAAAAACAAACAACUUCAAGAAGAACUAGAUAGAGUCAAAAGUGAUCUUGAAAAAUCACUCAAGUGGACCUGGUCCUCUGAAGCUAUCACUGCCAUGUACACAAACAAUGGGGGAAACAAGAAAGGAAUCAGGUUUCAAAGGGAAAAAACUCCCUACAACCCUCAUAGCAAGUACGUUACUGUACCUGACAACUGGCUCUGCACUCACUGUGGUAACAUUGGGCACUUUAAGGAAACCUGUAAGAUAAAGUUUCAGUUUCAAUAGAAAAAUAAAGUUUUUGCUAAAAAGGUAAUUACUGUUAGAGAACACGAUCCCUCAUAUAAAAGACGCAUGAUGCCUGCUUGGACCAAAAGAACCAUCAUUCAUCCCUUUUCCUCAUUACAAGGGACCCAAACUUGUUUGGAUUCCUAAGUCUAACCCUUAAUUUCCUUGUGCAGGGAAUAGUGAAGGGGAGCAGCCAACAAUGGUACAUAGAUAGUGGUUGCUCAAAGUACAUGACUGGAAGUACAAAUGAUUUCCUUUCACUGAAGGCCCUGCAAGGAGGGAGUGUAUCCUUCGGAAAUGGCAAGAAGGGAUAUAUUCUGGGAGUUAUAAGGAUUGGGAAGUCUCUCUCUCACUCUAUUGAAAAUGUGUACUAUGUGAACGGAUUGAAGUACAGCUUACUGAGUAUUUCCCAAAUCUGUGACAAGGGAAACAAAGUGAAAUUUGUGUCAAAGAUAUGCACAAUCACUAAUCUUGUGACUGGUGAAGUGGUGUUAGUGGCCAAAAUAUACAAAAACAUCUAUGUUGCUGGCUUUGAAUCUCUGCAAAAUAGAGAUCUCAGUUGUCUGAGUGCUGUAGAUGAUGAUACUGAACUAUGGCACCGAAGAUUGGGUCAUGCAAGCUUUAUGUCGCUGAACAAGUUGGUCAAGAAGGACCUGGUUCGUGGCCUGCCCAACUCAAGCUUCAAGAAUCACAAAGUAUGUGAUGGAUGUGUAAAAGGAAAGCAAGUCAGAUCUUCGUUCAAGUCCAAAAAGGAAGUCAACACCUCAAGGCCACUUGAUCUCCUUCAUAUGGAUCUAUGUGGACCUAUGAGAGUGCCAAGUAGAGGAGGAAAGAUGUACAUCUUUGUUAUUAUGGAUGACUAUUCCAGAUUCAUCUGGACUCUAUUUCUCAGAUCCAAGGAUGAAACAUUUGAAGUAUUUGUUGCAUUUGUAAAAAAUAUCCAAGUGAAGAUGAGCCAUAAUGUUGUGAGUAUAAGAUGUGAUCAUGGUACAAAAUUUUACAAUGCAAUGUUCGACGAGUUCUAUGGUGAAAAUAAUAUAAGUCACAACUUUUCAGCUCCAAGAACACCUCAACAAAACGGUGUCGUGGAGAGGAAAAAUAGGACUCUUGAGGACAUGGCUAGGACAAUGCUGAUUGAUAAUGGUGUUGCAAAAGGUUUCUGGCUAGAGGCAGUCAACACUGCAUGCUACUUGGUAAACAGGUGCAUGAUCAGGUCCCUCCUGAAUAAAACCCUGUAUGAACUGUUGAAUGGGAGAAAACCUAAGCUAACACACUUGAGGACAUUUGGUUGCAAAUGCUUUAUUCUCAACAAUGGUAAGGAAGCUUUGGGAAAGUUUGAUGCCAAGAGUGAUGAAGGAAUAUUUCUUGGAUAAUCAUCACAAAGCAGAGCCUACAAGGUAUACAACAAAAGAACUCAAUGUGUUGAGGAAAACAUACAUGUGAUCUUUGACGAAGCACAAUAACCUAUUAGAAAAGCUGCACAUGAUAAGGCUGAUCAAGAUGGAGAGUUAUCAAAUGUCCCUGAUGAAGUUAUUGACAAGGAAAAUGGAAAGGCCGAUAUGAUGAGUCAGGUCAAGGAUUUAAAUGACAAUGGCACAUCUGAAUCUCCAGUUGACAUAGAGGAACUCAGUUCCACAAUCACAACAACUGAAGCUAAAAAUAGAGUUGCUGAUGCAGUUCAAGGGACCCCACAUGCAGAGAGAGAAUCACAUUCAGAAAUACCUGGACCAUCCCACAACAAGGUUCAGGUGUCUAACUGGAAACACAAAAGUUCACAUCCUCUGGAUAAUGUGAUCACUCUCUUGAUUCAGGAAUUCAAACCGAAUCAAAGGCAAGAAACGUGCUUGCCUUCUCAGUUUUUCUCUCUCAAAUUAAGCCCAAGAAUAUCAAGGAAGCAUUAAAAGAUGUUGAUUGGAUUACAACUAUGCAAGAAGAACUCCAUCAACUUGAGAGAAACAGUGUAUGGAACCUGGUUCCAUGACUUGCUGACAGAACAGUUAUAGGAACCAAGUGGGUAUUCAGAAACAAACUUUAUGAGUUUAGAACACAACCAGAAACAAGGCAAGGUUGGUAGUUCAAGGUUACAAUCAGGAAGAAGGGGUUGACUAUGAUGAAACAUUUGCUCCAGUUGCUCGAAUGGAGGCAAUCGGAAUCCUCAUUGCUUUUGCGUCUCAUAUGGAAUUCAAAUUGUUCCAAAUAGAUGUCAAAAGUGCAUUUCUGAAUGGCUUUCUAAAAGAAGAAGUCUUUUCCAAGCAACCUCAUGGAUUUGAGAAUCGUGAACAUCCUGAGCAUGUUUUCAAACUUGACAAGGCACUAUAUGGGCUAAAGCAGGCUCCUCGUUCUUGGUAUGAAAGGUUGUCCAGAUUUCUUCUAGAAAAUGGCUUUACAAGAGGUAAAAUUGACAACACAUUAUUUCUGAAGAAACGAGGGAGGAACCUGCUCAUUGUGCAAGUCUAUGUUAAUGACAUCAUCUUCAGAGCAACAAACGAUUCAUUAUGUGAGGAAUUUGCAAAACUCAUGGGAAGUGAGUUCAAGAUGAGCAUGAUGGGAGAACUAAAUUUCUUCUUGGGUCUUAAAGUCAAGUAAACUCCUCAGGGAACAAUGAUAAGUCAGCAAAAGUACAUCAAUGAGCUUCUGAAGAGAUUUGAGAUGGAGAGUUCAAAAAUCAUAGAUACACCUAUUGUCACUCGCCUUGAUAUGGAUGAACCUGGUUCUCCUGCAAACGAGACUAUGUAUAGAGGCAUUACUGAGUCACUUCUGUAUCUCACAGCAAGUAGACCAGACAUUGUUUUCAGUGUGGCACUUUAUGCCAGGUUUCAAUCCAAUCCAAAGGAGUCUCAUCUGAAGGCUGCAAAGAGAAUUCUGAGGUAUCUCAAAGGAACGCAAGACCUGCUUCUCUGCUAUCCCUCAAGAGAUAAUUUUGACUUGAUAGGUUAUGCUGAUGCUGACUAUGCUGGUUAUCUGGUGGAUAGGAAAAGCACUUAUGGUAUGGCACAUUUUCUGGGUUCGUGUCUAAUCUCAUGGGGCACAAGAAAACAAAACUCAGUGGCCCUUUCAACUGCUGAAGCUGAGUAUGUGACAGUUGCCUCUUGUUGUGCCCAACUGUUGUGGAUCAAGCAGCAGCUAGAAGAUUUCGGUGUAUUUUCUGAUUGUGUGCCCUUACUGUGUGACAAUACCAGUGCACUCAACAUGGCCAAGAAUCCAUUUCAACAUAAAAGAACAAAGCACAUCGAUGUGCAGUACCAUUUUCUCAGAGACAAUGUUGAAAAAGGGCUCAUCUGUAUGAAAUUUUGCAACACAGAAAAUCAAAUUGUAGACAUAUUCACCAAAGCACUGAGCAAAGAAUACUUUGAAAGGAAUCGCUUGGCGCUGGGGUUGAUAAAACCAAGUUAAGGACCUGGUCCCUCGAUGAUUGGCUAUGAAAGAAAUGUACAGGUAAAUUAGCUAAAAAGUGUUUUCUGGCAAAGUCUAACUCAUUUCUAUACAGUUACAAGUAGACACGCAUGAUGAUUAUAGAGCAAACAAGCAGUUAAUGCAUUGCACGUUGGUCAAAGGAUGAGGCUUACAUUUGCAAAAUCUGUCAGGGAACCUGGUUCCUCCGACACAGGUCAGUAGUUUCUCUGUACUCUCAUGCACAACUUUUUAAAUGGUUGAAACGGUGCCACGUCAUUACACUGUCAGUUUCUUUUCUUUCCCGAUUUGUGAAUCCAAACGUCUCGCCCGUUAUGAAGCGACCCGACUACCCAAAUUGCCACCUAUUCCUAACCGGUCCCUCACCCCUCUUAAAUACAUCCAUUCACACUCACUUUCACUACUGUUCACAUCAAAAAAUCCAAAAUUCCUCUUUUUCUUUCUUAAAAGCAAACUUUCUAUUCUUCAACUCACUGCACUCUACCAUGUCUGAACACCAGGAAAUACAAGAUGUUCCAAGUAUCGUCCCCACUGUGUCCUUACCUGUUGAAACGUCAGUGAUAGAACCCACACUUUCCACUCCGACCAGUCCAAACCCUAAGAGAGAGUCACAACCACCCUCUGCUUCCUGUCACACCUCCUUUUUCCCGCGGGGGUAGGGGAUAAGGGAGUUUUUUUAAUUUAAGUGACAUAAUUUAAAAUGGGAUUAUUUAUUUAUUCAGAGUCGCCACUUGGAAUAAUUUAUGGUAUACCAAGUCACCGGUUUGUUUUAAAAUCCUAGAUCGAGGAAAUUGACUCUAUUUUUAUGGUCUGCGAACACAGAAGACCGGGUAAGGAAUUCUGUUAAAACGGGAGAAGGUGUGAGGCACUCCCGAGUUUCGUGGUUUUAGCACAGUCGCUUAAUAAUUACACUUAGCUCGAUUAUCUGAUUAUUACAUAUUUUGAACCUAUGUGCAUUUUAUUCCUUUUGCCACUUUUAAUGUUUAUGGAAUUUAUUUGAACAAGUCGCAAUGUCGCGCACUCGUUUGUUUUUUUGUACACAUUGAGAAUCGUGCCACGUGAAACGCACCCGCGAUUUAUAACAUGUUUGUUUUUAUUAUUAUUUGAAGUUCUGGUCGAGUCACAUGAAACGCACACUCGAAUUGGGAUUUACGUAUCGCGACCAUGCCACGAGAACCGUACCCAUAAUCACGAUGAUUUAUUAUUAAUCGCGCCUAAAGCAAACUACGAUAUUCAUGAGUUAUUCAUUUGCUAAAAUUUAAGACUAUUUGGGAAUGUCCAAGAAUUAUAGAAUCCUUUAUGCACAUGAUUACUGGCGAAAUGACUUAUCUAACGAACUCUCUUUUAUUUUUUUAUUAUUGAUUAAUAAUUAAUAGAAGAGCAGAGAUGUUAUUAAUUGAAUAAAAAUCAAGCAACUAAAUAUAAAAAACAGAAGGCUGUCCAUUCGAGACCCAAAGCAAGUUCACAGAAAAGUCAUAUGGCCAUUAGCAAUUAAUUCUAAACUUAAUCAAACCGAACAUAACACUUAUUAGUUGCAUAAUUUAAUUCCAACUCUCCAAACAUCAAAAUAUGCAAAUCAAAAGACCAUGGACACAAAUAAAGCAUUUAACAAAGAAUACACGAUAUCACUAGUAAUGUUGAAGCAAUAAGGAAAAAGAAAACAAACCUUUUAUUAGCUUUCAAAGUAUACAAAGAAAGGCACGUUGAAGAAGCUAACAACGAACAGACCCGCUAACGAUAGACCACGUCGGAACCUCGAAACUCGCGGGGAAAAGAUCGUCGGAAAAUUCAACUCGAACCCGACCAAAACGUUGUUGUUUUGUGAGGAAAGAGGGUUGUUUUCUAGCUGUUUUUCAGCUGAAUUUGGAGCUUCAUUGGACUGGUUUUACUAGUGGUCUGAGGCUGGUUUCUAUGGUUAAAACAGUGAGGGUUAGGACGAGAGGGAAACAGUGGAGUGACGAAGGAAAAUGCUCAUCGGCAAACUGGUGGUCAGCUCCAGCAGCGGCGAUGGCAGCUAAAAGCGAGAAGUGUGCGAGAAAAAAAAAACAAAAGGAAAGAGCAGUGGGAGGAGGGGUGAGCAGCGGGGCUGGCCAUAGUUGCCGGUAUUUUUCGGCUACUCGUCGGCGAUGGAGAUCAAGAAGGGUGGUCGGCUUUUCCUUUUUCUCUGUUUCCUAAAAUCGACCCUCCUAUAUCUCUCGUGCUCUCUCUAUCUUCUCCUUUUCUUAGCCCCCAACUCUUUUUAUUUCUCUAUCUAUCCACACUCUAUUUUUGUUUGUUUCCCCACCCCUGCUUUCCCCGUUCUUUUUUUUCUAUGCGGUCAAUGUCUAUUUUUUAUAAUGUGGGGUGAAUAUAUGGGGAUAAAAUAAAGGAAUGUGGAUAGAAUAUUCUUUCAAAAAAUUGAAAUGGCCAAAACGCGAGUCUGCCCA
rnacentral:lncRNA from 1 species